GAAACAAUCUGCCAGUGGAACUAGAACUGGGUUGCUAGGUAACGGGCUGGGCUCAGCUGGGGUUGCUAGGUAACGGAGUUCUCUUUAUGAAACAAUCUGCCAGUGGAACUAGAACUUUUCAUCGAUAUUUAGGAAUUAACAACUUAAACUCUUAUAUCUGCUGAAAUGUUGCUUGUAAACUAGCUUUGUCUCAUUUUAAACCUGAUAUGAUAUUUGCACCAGAAACUAGAGAAAAAUUUUGUGUUUUUACAGUGACAGAGUUUAAUCAGCUCAUUAAUCCCAAUAAAGGAUUAAAAUCACAAAUAACAGACUGAGUGAUAUGGACAGGAAAUAUUCUACUGUUACAUUAAAGGGGAAAUAUGACAAUUUUAUUAAUUAAUAAUCUCCAUAAUUUGUUGAUGCUCAUGAUACUCAUUAGAAAUUAGAGGGGCGGCCAUUUUGUUUGGAUAUGGGGAGAAAUGUGUCAUUAUUUGAAUCCGUUAGUCGAGGAAUAAAUAAGCUGAAAUACUUUAAACUGUCUUCAUGUUUAGCGUAACGUUAGUAUAGAAUGUGGACGAAAUGAAGGAGUUUAGAACUGAUUCUGAUCUUCAGGUAUUGUUUACUACAGGAUUAAAACCAGAUGAAGUUUCUGUUUGGGUCGUUUUUGCUCCAUCCUUCAGUUUAAAGCCAUUUGAAAGCGGUCGGCUCGUUGCUGCGUCUGUUCAAUCGGUGGUGAAUGUAAAAUAUGUGUCAGCAUUGUGAAGAAGGUUUUCUGUUUUUCCUCUGAGUCUGAUGAAGCCUUUAGCUGCAGGACAUAUAAAAACAUAGUGUUGCAUUGUGUGUUUGUGAGCAUAAAGUUCCAUGUUUGUGUGAACCAGUGGCUUUUGUGAGCUUCCUUCAAGCCUUUUGUACAGUAUUUUCUCCGCCACUAUUUAAUCCUAAAUUAAUUUAUUAAUGCUGUUUUUCAUGUAAAUGAAUUGGUGUGAUUCAUUCUACAGCUUAUCUGCUCUGUUUCAUAGUUUUUGAUAAAUUUUGUUGUUGUUUGGCUGAGGUUGUAUAAAAGCGAUGUUUCAAACUGAACAGCUCAUACCAAAUAAACGGCCCCUUGUCUGACUUAUUCUGUACUUUUCUGUUGUCUAAUUUGGAGGAUAAACUCUGAGAUUAACGAGGCUCUAGCAACACUUUCUAAAUUUAUUCAUCUUACAGUUUAACCUGAAGAUUUACAGGAUUUUCUCUUAACUGCUGCUUGAGUUUUCACUUCAAGUAAAAUAAUUGAUCAGAUUAAAAGAACAUUUUGAAAAUAACCUUUAAGCAGGACUUGACAUUAAUUUCUACAUUGGUGUUUGUAUUGGUCUCAUGUGAUAGUCUAGUCUUAGAUAUCAUGUUUUCAAUAAAGGCUUGAAAACAG